UACGUAGGGUGCGAGCGUUGUCCGGAAUUAUUGGGCGUAAAGAGCUUGUAGGCGGUCUGUCGCGUCUGCUGUGAAAAUCCGGGGCUCAACCCCGGACUUGCAGUGGGUACGGGCAGACUAGAGUGUGGUAGGGGAGACUGGAAUUCCUGGUGUAGCGGUGAAAUGCGCAGAUAUCAGGAGGAACACCGGUGGCGAAGGCGGGUCUCUGGGCCGCAACUGACGCUGAGGAGCGAAAGCAUGGGGAGCGAACAGG
rnacentral:rRNA from 1 species